UACGUAGGUGGCGAGCGUUGUCCGGAUUUAUUGGAUUUAAAGGGUGCGUAGGCGGCUUUGUAAGUCAGUGGUGAAAUACUCCAGCUUAACUGGAGGGGUGCCAUUGAUACUGCGGAGCUUGAGUACAGAUGAGGUAGGCGGAAUUGACGGUGUAGCGGUGAAAUGCAUAGAUAUCGUCAAGAACACCGAUAGCGAAGGCAGCUUACUGGGCUGUAACUGACGCUGAUGCACGAAAAGUGUGGGGAUCAAACAGG
rnacentral:rRNA from 1 species